rnacentral:rRNA from 1 species
GACGAACGCUGGCGGCGUGCUUAACACAUGCAAGUCGAGCGGAAAGGCCCUUCGGGGUACUCGAGCGGCGAACGGGUGAGUAACACGUGAGUAACCUGCCCUCAGCUUCGGGAUAAGCCUGGGAAACUGGGUCUAAUACCGGAUACGACCAUUGGAUGCAUGUCUGGUGGUGGAAAAGUUUUUCGGCUGGGGAUGGGCGUCGCGGGUCCUAUCAGCUUGUUGGUGGGGUGAUGGCCUACCAAGGCGACGACGGGUAGCCGGCCUGAGAGGGUGACCGGCCACACUGGGACUGAGACACGGCCCAGACUCCCACGGGAGGCAGCAGUGGGAAUAUUGGGCAAUGGGCGCAAGCCUGACCCGGCCAUGCCGCGUGAGUGAUGAA